UUAAGCGACUAAGCGUACACGGUGGAUGCCCUGGCAGUCAGAGGCGAUGAAGGACGUGCUAAUCUGCGAUAAGCGUCGGUAAGGUGAUAUGAACCGUUAUAACCGGCGAUUUCCGAAUGGGGAAACCCAGUGUGUUUCGACACACUAUCAUUAACUGAAUCCAUAGGUUAAUGAGGCGAACCGGGGGAACUGAAACAUCUAAGUACCCCGAGGAAAAGAAAUCAACCGAGAUUCCCCCAGUAGCGGCGAGCGAACGGGGAGGAGCCCAGAGCCUGAAUCAGUGUGUGUGUUAGUGGAAGCGUCUGGAAAGGCGCGCGAUACAGGGUGACAGCCCCGUACACAAAAAUGCACAUACUGUGAGCUCGAUGAGUAGGGCGGGACACGUGGUAUCCUGUCUGAAUAUGGGGGGACCAUCCUCCAAGGCUAAAUACUCCUGACUGACCGAUAGUGAACCAGUACCGUGAGGGAAAGGCGAAAAGAACCCCGGCGAGGGGAGUGAAAAAGAACCUGAAACCGUGUACGUACAAGCAGUGGGAGCCUCUUAAUGGGGUGACUGCGUACCUUUUGUAUAAUGGGUCAGCGACUUAUAUUCUGUAGCAAGGUUAACCGAAUAGGGGAGCCGAAGGGAAACCGAGUCUUAACUGGGCGUUAAGUUGCAGGGUAUAGACCCGAAACCCGGUGAUCUAGCCAUGGGCAGGUUGAAGGUUGGGUAACACUAACUGGAGGACCGAACCGACUAAUGUUGAAAAAUUAGCGGAUGACUUGUGGCUGGGGGUGAAAGGCCAAUCAAACCGGGAGAUAGCUGGUUCUCCCCGAAAGCUAUUUAGGUAGCGCCUCGUGAAUUCAUCUCCGGGGGUAGAGCACUGUUUCGGCAAGGGGGUCAUCCCGACUUACCAACCCGAUGCAAACUGCGAAUACCGGAGAAUGUUAUCACGGGAGACACACGGCGGGUGCUAACGUCCGUCGUGAAGAGGGAAACAACCCAGACCGCCAGCUAAGGUCCCAAAGUCAUGGUUAAGUGGGAAACGAUGUGGGAAGGCCCAGACAGCCAGGAUGUUGGCUUAGAAGCAGCCAUCAUUUAAAGAAAGCGUAAUAGCUCACUGGUCGAGUCGGCCUGCGCGGAAGAUGUAACGGGGCUAAACCAUGCACCGAAGCUGCGGCAGCGACGCUUAUGCGUUGUUGGGUAGGGGAGCGUUCUGUAAGCCUGUGAAGGUGGCCUGUGAGGGUUGCUGGAGGUAUCAGAAGUGCGAAUGCUGACAUAAGUAACGAUAAAGCGGGUGAAAAGCCCGCUCGCCGGAAGACCAAGGGUUCCUGUCCAACGUUAAUCGGGGCAGGGUGAGUCGACCCCUAAGGCGAGGCCGAAAGGCGUAGUCGAUGGGAAACAGGUUAAUAUUCCUGUACUUGGUGUUACUGCGAAGGGGGGACGGAGAAGGCUAUGUUGGCCGGGCGACGGUUGUCCCGGUUUAAGCGUGUAGGCUGGUUUUCCAGGCAAAUCCGGAAAACCAAGGCUGAGGCGUGAUGACGAGGCACUACGGUGCUGAAGCAACAAAUGCCCUGCUUCCAGGAAAAGCCUCUAAGCAUCAGGUAACAUCAAAUCGUACCCCAAACCGACACAGGUGGUCAGGUAGAGAAUACCAAGGCGCUUGAGAGAACUCGGGUGAAGGAACUAGGCAAAAUGGUGCCGUAACUUCGGGAGAAGGCACGCUGAUAUGUAGGUGAAGCGACUUGCUCGUGGAGCUGAAAUCAGUCGAAGAUACCAGCUGGCUGCAACUGUUUAUUAAAAACACAGCACUGUGCAAACACGAAAGUGGACGUAUACGGUGUGACGCCUGCCCGGUGCCGGAAGGUUAAUUGAUGGGGUUAGCGGUAACGCGAAGCUCUUGAUCGAAGCCCCGGUAAACGGCGGCCGUAACUAUAACGGUCCUAAGGUAGCGAAAUUCCUUGUCGGGUAAGUUCCGACCUGCACGAAUGGCGUAAUGAUGGCCAGGCUGUCUCCACCCGAGACUCAGUGAAAUUGAACUCGCUGUGAAGAUGCAGUGUACCCGCGGCAAGACGGAAAGACCCCGUGAACCUUUACUAUAGCUUGACACUGAACAUUGAGCCUUGAUGUGUAGGAUAGGUGGGAGGCUUUGAAGUGUGGACGCCAGUCUGCAUGGAGCCGACCUUGAAAUACCACCCUUUAAUGUUUGAUGUUCUAACGUGGGCCCCUAAUCGGGGUUGCGGACAGUGUCUGGUGGGUAGUUUGACUGGGGCGGUCUCCUCCUAAAGAGUAACGGAGGAGCACGAAGGUUGGCUAAUCCUGGUCGGACAUCAGGAGGUUAGUGCAAUGGCAUAAGCCAGCUUGACUGCGAGCGUGACGGCGCGAGCAGGUGCGAAAGCAGGUCAUAGUGAUCCGGUGGUUCUGAAUGGAAGGGCCAUCGCUCAACGGAUAAAAGGUACUCCGGGGAUAACAGGCUGAUACCGCCCAAGAGUUCAUAUCGACGGCGGUGUUUGGCACCUCGAUGUCGGCUCAUCACAUCCUGGGGCUGAAGUAGGUCCCAAGGGUAUGGCUGUUCGCCAUUUAAAGUGGUACGCGAGCUGGGUUUAGAACGUCGUGAGACAGUUCGGUCCCUAUCUGCCGUGGGCGCUGGAGAACUGAGGGGGGCUGCUCCUAGUACGAGAGGACCGGAGUGGACGCAUCACUGGUGUUCGGGUUGUCAUGCCAAUGGCACUGCCCGGUAGCUAAAUGCGGAAGAGAUAAGUGCUGAAAGCAUCUAAGCACGAAACUUGCCCCGAGAUGAGUUCUCCCUGACUCCUUGAGAGUCCUGAAGGAACGUUGAAGACGACGACGUUGAUAGGCCGGGUGUGUAAGCGCAGCGAUGCGUUGAGCUAACCGGUACUAAUGAACCGUGAGGCUUAACCUU
rnacentral:rRNA from 1 species